CAGCAAUCCUAGUUCCACUGGAUAUUUUUGAGUGAUUAAAUGUAUUACUCACUUCUUUUUGUAUUCAUUUUUUUUAAUAGAAAAUGCAUCAGAUGCAGAUUUAUGGCUCCUGAACAGUUGCACUGUAAAAAAACCCAGCUGAAGACCACUUUAGAAGCUCAAUUAAGUGUCUCAAUGCUUGUACCUACUGCAAAACUAAACAUGCCAGAGGAAAUUCGGCCAGUUACCCGAUUGAUGAGCUAGUAGAUAGAGCCAAACAAUCUUUUCAAGGUAAGACUUUCUAGAAUUACAUGUGAAAUUGUCUUCUUAAUAAAUUAUAUUAGUCUUCUAUUUAGAGACA
rnacentral:lncRNA from 13 species